UGGGUUAAGUCCCGUAACGAGCGCAACCCUUGUCCUUAGUUACCAGCACGUAAUGGUGGGCACUCUAAGGAGACUGCCGGUGACAAACCGGAGGAAGGUGGGGAUGACGUCAAGUCAUCAUGGCCCUUACGGCCUGGGCUACACACGUGCUACAAUGGUCGGUACAGAGGGUUGCCAAGCCGCGAGGUGGAGCUAAUCCCACAAAACCGAUCGUAGUCCGGAUCGCAGUCUGCAACUCGACUGCGUGAAGUCGGAAUCGCUAGUAAUCGCGAAUCAGAAUGUCGCGGUGAAUACGUUCCCGGGCCUUGUACACACCGCCCGUCACACCAUGGGAGUGGGUUGCACCAGAAGUAGCUAGUCUAACCUUCGGGAGGACGGUUACCACGGUGUGAUUCAUGACUGGGGUGAAGUCGUAACAAGGUAGCCGUAGGGGAACC
rnacentral:rRNA from 1 species